rnacentral:rRNA from 1 species
GACGAACGCUGGCGGCGUGCUUAACACAUGCAAGUCGAACGGAAAGGCCCUGCUCUUGUGGGGUGCUCGAGUGGCGAACGGGUGAGUAACACGUGAGUAACCUGCCCUUGACUUUGGGAUAACUUCAGGAAACUGGGGCUAAUACCGGAUAGGAUCUCCUGCUGCAUGGUGGGGGUUGGAAAGUUUCGGCGGUUGGGGAUGGACUCGCGGCUUAUCAGCUUGUUGGUGGGGUAGUGGCUUACCAAGGUUUUGACGGGUAGCCGACCUGAGAGGGUGACCGGCCACCUUGGGACUAAGAUACGGCCCAGAAGCCUACGGGAGGCAGCAGUGGGGAAUAUUGCGCAAUGGGCGGAAGCCUGAUGCAGCAACGCCGCGUGCGGGAUGACGGCCUUCGGGUUGUAAACCGCUUUCGCCUGUGACGAAGCGUGAGUGACGGUAAUGGGUAAAGAAGCACCGGCUAACUACGUG